GAUGAAGAACGUAGCGAAAUGCGAUACGUAGUGUGAAUUGCAGAAUUCAGUGAAUCAUCGAAUCUUUGAACGCACAUUGCACCUCUCGGUAUUCCGGGAGGUAUGCCUGUUCGAGCGUCAUUUGUACCCUCAAGCUCUGCUUGGUGUUGCGUGUUUGUUCCGCCUCUGUGUGUGAACUCGCCUCAAAACAAUUGGCAGCCGGCGUACUUGUUUCGGAGCGCAGCACAUUUUGCGAUCCAGAUCAACGUACAGCGGCAUCCAAGAAGCCUUAUUUAACGCUCUUGACCUCGGAUCAGGUAGGGAUACCCGCUGAACUUAAGCAUAUCAAUAAGCGGAGGA
rnacentral:misc_RNA from 1 species